rnacentral:rRNA from 1 species
AGUGAACGCUGGCGGCGUGCCUAAUACAUGCAAGUCGAACGAAGUGGCGCACGGGUGAGUAAUAUAUAGUUAAUCUGCCCUACACAGUGGGACAACAGUUGGAAACGGCUGCUAAUACCUCAUAGUGUAGGAUGAGACUAUCUCGUAUCGGCUAGUUGGUAAGGUAAUGGCUUACCAAGGCUAUGACGCGUAACUGGUCUGGGAGGAUGAUCAGACACAUAGGAAGUGAGGCACGGUCCAAACUCCUACGGGAGGCAGCAGUAAGGAAUAGUGCGCAAUGGGGGAAACACUGACGGAGGAACGCCGCGUGGAGGAUGACACUUUUCGGAGCGUAAACUCCUUUUAGCAGGAAAGCGGUACCUGAUGAAUAAGCACCGGCUAACUCCGUGCCAGCAGCCGCGGUAAUUC